GGCCGAGAGGGGUCACAACAAAUGCAAACGCCGCAACGCCUGCAUAUACAGAAAACACCUGCAAAUUCAGAAAACACCUGCAAAUUCAGAAAACACUUUCAUCGAUUACACAACACGUGCGCUGCAAAUGCCAAAACACAUGCAAAUGCAGAAAACCCCUGCAUCGACUUCAUAACACGAGCAAAUAGGGAAACGAACUGCAAGUUAUGACAACGGAAAUGUGUCCCGGGGGACCAUAAUCAGUGACGGACCCAUAUCCGGUUGGCGGUUCUUUUCAAUUACGAAGGUGUUAAGUCGUUUGAUUGUGCUACAAGAGAUUGACAUGUUCUGCCCGUUCUGUGCGGUGCAACUGGGGGACGCUCCCAAGUUUUGCCCGUCAUGUGGGCAGAAUCUGGGGUUCCUUACACAGCUCCCAUCAACUCCAUCCACCUCGUCAAGCGAAGGCUGUGGGCCUACAGUGAAGGAGACUAGGAAGGAAGGAAGAGCAGCUCAAUUCUUGAGGUUCAGGGAGGUUAAAGAGGCUGAGAGGAGGACCUCCUUUUCAAAGCUUAAAAAGAAGCAGGCCAUUACAGUGAAGGUAAGUUAAUACAGAGGUUUUAGGUCGUAAUGUGACUAUUUAAGACCCAGUAGUCAUGUUUGUUUUUUCUUUUUUUCUCUUCUUUUCUGAU